rnacentral:rRNA from 1 species
CCUACGGGAGGCAGCAGUGAGGAAUAUUGGUCAAUGGGCGAGAGCCUGAACCAGCCAAGUCGCGUGAGGGAAGACGGUCCUAUGGAUUGUAAACCUCUUUUGCCGGGGAGCAAAACGCGGUACGUGUACCGCAUCGAGCGUACCCGGAGAAAAAGCAUCGGCUAACUCCGUGCCAGCAGCCGCGGUAAUACGGAGGAUGCGAGCGUUAUCCGGAUUUAUUGGGUUUAAAGGGUGCGCAGGCGGCGAGUUAAGUCAGCGGUAAAAUUUCGGGGCUCAACCCCGACGAGCCGUUGAAACUGGCGUGCUAGAGUGGGCGAGAAGUAGGCGGAAUGCGUGGUGUAGCGGUGAAAUGCAUAGAUAUCACGCAGAACUCCGAUUGCGAAGGCAGCAUACCGGCGCCCAACUGACGCUCAGGCACGAAAGCGUGGGUAUCGAACAGGAUUAGAUACCCGAGUAGUC